rnacentral:rRNA from 1 species
AUACGGAGGAUCCGAGCGUUAUCCGGAUUUAUUGGGUUUAAAGGGUGCGCAGGCGGGAGAUUAAGUCGGCGGUGAAAUUUUGCAGCUCAACUGUAAAAGUGCCUUCGAAACUGGUUUCCUUGAGUGUAGAUGAAGUAGGCGGAAUUUGUGGUGUAGCGGUGAAAUGCAUAGAUAUCACGAGGAACUCCGAUUGCGCAGGCAGCUUACUAAACUACUACUGACGCUCAGGCACGAAGGCGUGGGGAUCAAACAGGAUUAGAUACCCUGGUAGUCCACGCAGUAAACGAUGAUUACUAGCUGUUUGCGAUACAAUGUAAGCGGCUGAGCGAAAGCGUUAAGUAAUCCACCUGGGGAGUACGUUCGCAAGAAUGAAACUCAAAUGAAUUGACGGGU